rnacentral:piRNA from 1 species
UCAGAAACAGUAAUUUGAGAACUAGAUAGC